rnacentral:lncRNA from 1 species
CGUCUAAGAUUUGGGUUUAGGGUAUACGGUUUGGGUUUAGGGUCUAGGAUUUGGUUUAUGGUAUAGGGUUUGGAUUUAAGGUUUACAGUUUGGGUUUAGGGUCUAGGAUUUGGGUUUAGGUAUAGGGUUUGGAUUUAAGGUUUACAGUUUGGGUUUAGGGUCUAGGAUUUGGUUUAUGGUAUAGGGUUUGGAUUUAAGGUUUACAGUUUGGGUUUAGGGUCUAGGAUUUGGGUUUAGGGUCUAUGAUUUGGGUUUAGGGUAUAGAGAUUAGGUUUAAAAUUUACGGUUUAGGGUUAAGAUUUUAAGAUUUCGAAUUUACGGUUUAGCUGUCGGCGUCAACGUUGUUAAAAUUAGCUUUUUAGUUAUUUUAAAAUAAAUUUAAUAUUUUUAAUUAAUUAUUUACGUGACAGUUUGAUUGAUCUCAAUGAGUGG